GACGAACGCUGGCGGCGUGCUUAACACAUGCAAGUCGAACGGAGUGGCGAACGGGUGAGUAACACGUGGGUGACCUGCCCUGCACUUCGGGAUAAUCCUGGGAAACUGGGUCUAAUACCGGAUAGUGUGGGAUGGGCGCGCGGCCUAUCAGCUUGUUGGUGGGGUAAUGGACUACCAAGGCGGCGACGGGUAGCCGGCCGGGGAGGGUGGACGGCCACAUUGGGACUGAGAGACGGCGCAGACGGCAACGGGAGGCAGUGGUGGGGAAUAUGGCCCAAUGGGCGGAAGCCUGAUGAAGCAACGCCGCGUGCGGAAUGACGGCCUUCGGGUUGUAAACCGCUUUCAGCGAUGACGCGGUAGUGGCAGAAGAAGCACCGGCUAACUACGUGCCAGCAGCCGCGGUAAUUC
rnacentral:rRNA from 1 species